GACCUUUGUCUCAACGCUGGAGCGAUUCCGAGAGGAAGAUGUUCCUGUGCAGUUUGACCUCCCGGAGCCGUCCCUGGGGACCACGGUGGCUGCUGUGGAUCAGAGUCCCUCGCAGGUCCGCUUGCCAGCCAGAGGAGGUACUGAGGAUGCCAGGGGCCUCUUCUGGGUCCUGGAUGAGGAGGUCCGGGUGGAGGGCUCCG